UUUCAUUUUGAAUAUUUGCAGGGUUAUGGAGAUCUUUGCAGGGAACUGAAAAUUGAUGUUAUUCUCAGAGAAAGAGCUUUAUAUCUAGCAGAAAAAUAUUGUGGAUAUACACAGAAAUAUAGAGACUUCGAACUGGAAAUUAAUAAGUAUACAAAGGAUGUUAGAAGUCAAGACGUCAUGUAAGUAAUUUUAUAAGAUUCUGCUUAA